rnacentral:rRNA from 1 species
UAUAGGUUUGGUCCCAGCCUUCCUGUUAACUUUCAAUAGACUUAUACAUGCAAGCAUCCACGCCCCGGUGAGUAACGCCCUUCGAAUCACACAGGACUAAAAGGAGCAGGUAUCAAGCACACACUCUUGUAGCUCACAACGCCUUGCUUAACCACACCCCCACGGGAGACAGCAGUAACAAAAAUUAAGCCAUAAACGAAAGUUUGACUAAGCCAUAUUGACUAGGGUUGGUAAAUCUCGUGCCAGCCACCGCGGUCAUACGAUUGACCCAAGCUAACAGGAGUACGGCGUAAAGCGUGUUAAAGCAUCAUACUAAAUAGAGUUAAAUUUUAAUUAAACUGUAAAAAGCCAUAGUUAUAACAAAAAUAAAUGACGAAAGUAACCCUACAAUAGCUGAUACACCAUAGCUAAGACCCAAACUGGGAUUAGAUACCCCACUAUGCUUAGCCCUAAACACAAAUAAUUAU